GACGAACGCUGGCGGCGUGCCUAACACAUGCAAGUCGAACGAGGUCCAUGCAGUGGCAACACUGCGGAAGACCUAGUGGCGAACGGGUGAGUAACACGUGAGGAACCUGCCCCGAAGACCGGGAUAACCCUCCGAAAGGAGAGCUAAUACCGGAUACCCUCACCUGGUCGCAUGGCCGGGUGAGGAAAUGGAUUCCGCUUCGGGAGGGCCUCGCGGCCUAUCAGCUAGUUGGUGAGGUAACGGCUCACCAAGGCAUCGACGGGUAGCUGGUCUGAGAGGACGAUCAGCCACACUGGGACUGAGACACGGCCCAGACUCCUACGGGAGGCAGCAGUGGGGAAUCUUGCGCAAUGGGCGAAAGCCUGACGCAGCAACGCCGCGUGGGGGAUGAAGGCUCUCGGGUUGUAAACCCCUUUCAGCAGGGACGAAAUUGACGGUACCUGCAGAAGAAGCCCCGGCUAACUACGUGCCAGCAGCCGCGGUAAUG
rnacentral:rRNA from 1 species